rnacentral:miRNA from 1 species
UUCUCUCUCUCUCUCUCUCUUUCUCUUUUGGUGUACGUACUUGUCCGUGUUGUCGUGCUGUGGCGUUAGCGAACUAUCAACUGCGGACCGAGAAAGAGAGAGAGAGAGAGAGAGCACGA